CCUACGGGGGGCAGCAGUGAGGAAUAUUGGUCAAUGGGCGGGAGCCUGAACCAGCCAAGUCGCGUGAGUGAAGAAGUAUUUCGGUAUGUAAAGCUCUAUCAGCAGGGAAGAUAAUGACGGUACCUGACUAAGAAGCCCCGGCUAACUACGUGCCAGCAGCCGCGGUAAUACGUAGGGGGCAAGCGUUAUCCGGAUUUACUGGGUGUAAAGGGAGCGUAGGUGGCAGGGCAAGUCAGAUGUGAAAACCCGGGGCUCAACCCCGGGAGUGCAUUUGAAACUGUCCAGCUGGAGUGCAGGAGAGGUAA
rnacentral:rRNA from 1 species